rnacentral:tRNA from 1 species
GGACGCUUAGCUCAGCUGGUAGAGCAUCCGCUUGACGUGCGGAGGGUCAGGAGUUCAAGUCUCUUAGCGUCCACCA